UACGAAGGGGGCUAGCGUUGUUCGGAAUUACUGGGCGUAAAGGUGCGUAGGCGGGUCUUUAAGUCAGGGUGAAAUCCUGGAGCUCAACUCCAGAACUGCCUUUGAUACUGAAGAUCUUGAGUUCGGGAGAGUGAGUGGAACUGCGAGUGUAGAGGUGAAAUUCGUAGAUAUUCGCAAGAACACCAGUGGCGAAGGCGGCUCACUGGCCCGGUACUGACGCUGAGGCACGAAAGCGUGGGGAGCAAACAG
rnacentral:rRNA from 1 species